rnacentral:misc_RNA from 1 species
AAAACCUCCCUCUUCUCUCAUACUCAGUGUACUGUAGUUAGUGUGGCAUCCUGCACCGUUCCAGUCACCCUCAAUUGGUUUUGGAUCGAGUGAGAGGACAACUCCUGCUUGUUCAGUAAUUCUCUCGAGGAGGUAUCUAGCACACCAGAUAUGAUCUCCACCUUCAAUUCCAACACUAGGACCUACUUGAAAUUCCCACUGUCCUGGCAUAACCUCUCCAUUAGUACCACUAAUGUUAA